rnacentral:lncRNA from 1 species
UUCCAUUUUGGCAAUGUGGGAUCUCUUUGCUUUCUGGGAAUAUUCAAAGGCCAGCUGGGAUAUUGUUGUAUGUUCUGCAAUGUGAGUCAGAGCAGGUUGGCACAGGCUUUGGUUAGCACAGAACGCCGGCUGUGUGGCAAUGUGUGACCAGGUCCGUGGACGUGGCUGGUCCCAGCUGUGCUCUGCCCCAGUUCCCAGAGCUUCUGCUGCUGGCUGAGGUCACCAGCUCCAGGAAAGGUCUGCUCCUGCUGACAGGGAGAUCUGCUGACUUCUGGCACUCACUAGUCACAGGGUUUGGCCUCCUACCAGCUGAGACUGAAGGCUGGUGAACUCUGUCAUGGUACCACCUCCUAGCUUUCCUUCUGCACUUAUUCCCAUCUUGUGGUACUCUGGCUGCCAGACAUAUGAGAAGGAGGCGAAGGUUGUGAUGUCUUGGAAGCAGUGUGGAUCCAUCUAAGCCCAUUGGAAAGCUUCUGUUACUUUUUAUCAUUGCCCCAUCAGGCAGAAGAUAAGAUUUGCCUUGGAGUGAGUAAACAACCUGUUUAUAUUUAAGUAAAUCACUGGGAGAGUUGGUAACACCCUUUGCUGUGGGAGGAGAGGUGUUUUCCAUGGCCAAAUAUCUGCAUUCCCUUAGUUAGGAAGGCAUAGUCAAGAUGCUGGUGGCUGGCAGGCCAGAUGUAACUGGCUAGUUAUCAAGAAAUCUCUGCUAGGUGAUUGAAGAGAUUUAGAAUCAGAAUGGUAUUCUGGAGUAUGAACAGCUACAUAAAUUAAUAUCCUCCCUCCAUCCUGAGUACUCAGGCAAAGGGAGCUGCAUGCCCAGCCCAGAGUCUGGGUAAAUGUUCUGGCAAGGGGAGCUGCAGAGAGAUGCUUGCUGCUUGAGAAAAAGUAAAUUCAUACUCUGAGAGAUCAUAAUGAAAAGCAUUGAAGAUUCUUACCCAAAGAGAAAUUCAGGCCUGGAGAUAACUGAGAUUUAUAAAAUGUCAGAUUUUAUGAAAAGAGCCAGAUGAUGGCAGCAUAGAAUGCAAGAGAAAACUGGGGAAAUUCCUGGGUUAAGUAGCAUGAGA